GACGAACGCUGGCGGCGUGCUUAACACAUGCAAGUCGAACGGAAAGGCCCUGCUUUUGUGGGGUGCUCGAGUGGCGAACGGGUGAGUAACACGUGAGUAACCUGCCCUUGACUUUGGGAUAACUUCAGGAAACUGGGGCUAAUACCGGAUAGGAGCUCCUGCUGCAUGGUGGGGGUUGGAAAGUUUCGGCGGUUGGGGUUGGACUCGCGGCUUAUCAGCUUGUUGGUGGGGUAGUGGCUUACCAAGGCUUUGACGGGUAGCCGGCCUGAGAGGGUGACCGGCCACAUGGGGACUGAGAUACGGCCCAGACUCCUACGGGAGGCAGCAGUGGGGAAUAUUGCAUAAUGGGCGGAAGCCUGAUGCAGCAACGCUGCGUGCGGGAUGACGGCCUUCGGGUUGUAAACCGCUUUCGCCUGUGACGAAGCGGGAGUGACGGUAAUGGGUAAAGAAGCACCGGCUAACUACGUG
rnacentral:rRNA from 1 species